GGUGAACGCUGGCGGCGUGCUUAAGACAUGCAAGUCGAACGGCAGUCUUCGGACUGUAGUGGCGCACGGGUGAGUAACGCGUAACUGACCUACCCCAAAGUCGCGGAUAACGAUUCGAAAGAAUCGCUAAUACGUGAUGUGCUGUCAGAUUGUGUUCUGCCAGUAAAGAUUGAUUGCUUUGGGAUGGGGUUGUGUUCCAUCAGCUAGUUGGUGGGGUAAAGGCCCACCAAGGCGACGACGGAUAGCCGGCCUGAGAGGGUGGCCGGCCACAGGGGCACUGCGACACGGGUCCCACUCCUACGGGAGGCAGCAGUUAGGAAUCUUCCACAAUGGGCGAAAGCCUGAUGGAGCGACGCCGCGUGAGGGAUGAAGGUCUUCGGAUCGUAAACCUCUGAAUCAGGGACGAAAGACACUUCGGUGGGAUGACGGUACCUGAGUAAUAGCACCGGCUAACUCCGUGCCAGCCGCCGCAGUAAUAC
rnacentral:rRNA from 1 species